ensembl:lncRNA
AUAUAUAUAUAUAUAUAUAUAUGACCUUUAUAAUAUAUAUAUAUAUAUAUAUGUAUACAUAUGCCAUACGUCAAGCCCUGUAUAUAUAUACAGUAUACAGGGCUUGACAUCAACAUUUUUGCUCAACACCCACUGGCAUGGUGUUUUCCAAAGUUAGUAGCCACUCAGCAAUUUCAUUAGCCACAAUUUUUGUUGUUGGGAAUUGAGUUUAAUUUGAUAAAAGACAAAAAGAGUAGCUCAUUGCAUAUAACUAGAGCAGAGGUGUGAAGCUCCUGGACUUCCUGAACCCCAGCCCCAACCCCUUACCGCAACACUUUGUUGUCUGACACGGCCAACGAUAUCUCAUUGACCUUCAUUGACCUGGGACCUGUAAAAAUGACCUGUAAAAGUUGCUUCUCCCAACUAAAAAAGAGACCCACUUAAACUUUCACUCCUAUACGUCAUAAUAUCAGAACAAUACAUUAUUUUCUUGGCCGGAUCAUGAAACAGACGUUCUCUACUGUACCUCCACGACCUUUUCUUUUAUUUUGACUCCUCUUUACUUUCGCUUUCAGCACCACUCUUUUGUGUUUGCCCUCCGGGUUUUCCUACUACACUUGCUCUGUGCCACCACAUACUCGCCUUGCACUGAGCCGUCUGAGCCGUGUUUUGAGAAGACAACAGUAACGGACUGUCUCACCCAGCCGGGGGAAAUGGAGGAGGCAGGCAGGUCCGCAUGGACAUUAAAAUAAUGUUUAGUUUUUUUGUCAAAAUUGCUGUGAUGACAAAAGGUAAUAUUUCAUGAAUAAAUUGAUGAAUAUCGUCUGAUUUAAAUCAAACUAAAUUGUGUCUGAAAGAAAAAGUGCCCCGUGUGAGGCUCGAACUCACGACCUUCAGAUUAUGAGACUGACGCGCUGCCUACUGCGCCAACGAGGCAGACAACAAGAGCACACAGACAGAGAGGGAGCUUUUCCUUCUUUAUUGAAAGACAAAAUAGUGUGAAUAGUGUCGUUGUCGUUAAAAAUAGACGUGACAGAAUGAGGACACACCUCCUCGUUAGUAUAGUGGUGAGUAUCCCCGCCUGUCACGCGGGAGACCGGGGUUCAAUUCCCCGACGGGGAGUCAAAACUUUUUUUUUAAGAUUCUUACCUACAUAAAGUACGAGCCUCUAGCGUGGUGUUGCAAAUGUUCUAAGCACCGCAGCUGAUCAGCACAAUGUUUGCCUGCUACUUCCUUGGGUUCCUGAUUUUUUAAUAGCCUAUGGAGAGGCGAUGUAGUGGAGCAUGUGGGAGGUUUGUUGGGGGAGGGAUAACUGGGCGGAGGAACAAAAAAAUGAAACGCAGCCUAAAAAGCGAGUAUUAAAAAACACUGUUGCAUUGUUGCAAAAACCCUAAAUUAAAAAGACUGUUGCAUUGGCCGGGAAUCGAACCCGGGCCUCCCGCGUGGCAGGCGAGAAUUCUACCACUGAACCACCAAUGCUCACAUGGGACCUUUAUGCGCCCCAAAACAAGAAAUUCUUACCUACGAGAAACUAUGGGCCUUCUGUGUGAUGGGCUGAAUCAAACAUCGUCUACAGAGCUCUGUAGGCGAACUGCAGGGGGUCCAGGAGGGGGUCGGUGAGGGUUUUCAGGUGGGACAGGAGGUGUUGAAGAUGUCUGUGAACACCGGAGACAGCUAAUCAGCACAAUGCUUCAGGGUGUGGGGGGAGACGGAGUCCGAACAGGCUGCUUUACGAGGGUUUUGUCUUUUAAAGAGCCUGUUAACGUCUCUCAAAACAGAGAGGGUCGUUGCUGGUAAGGGGGUUGGGUGUUUCAGAGUGUGGAAACAGUGCGUUCGUCUGCACGAUAGGGCUAUCCGGAGACGGGGUUCACCGGGUUCAGACAAACUAGAGUCCGUCUGCACUGGGUCUCAGAGGCAUGAGCCCCUGAUGGGCUGGAGGAGGGAGAGGUGGGGGUCGGGGGCAGGUUGGUGGAGCUGUGGGGGAUGGGGUUAGGACAUUGAAUAUCAAAUCUGCAGUAGAACUCGUUCAGCCAGUGGCCAGGCGGAGUUCAUUCAUGGAGUGGCGUCCUUUGGCAUCUCUCGCCGCCCUGGUGAUUUUCCUCCGCGACGCAGAGGAAUAAAUCUAGAAGGAGGGAGUGUAGGAUUUCACGGGCCUCCCGCGUGGCAGGCGAGAAUUCUACCACUGAACCACCAAUGCUCACACGCCUCACAACAUCACACAGUCGCGUCGAUAUCCACCAGGUACACAGGAUACCAGAAGAUGGAAAGAUGUUGAUAGACACGGUGUCACAAAUAUUUACGUGCAAACGUUCUUGCCUUUUUGAAUCUUACAAAGGCACAGCUGAGGGAAGGAUGCUUACAGUUCCACUCCUGUUCAACUAUCUGAUCCAGCUCACUUCAGGUAGUGACAUUUAGCAGACAGCCCUGCUACACUUAUGAAUAGCCCUGUACUUGAACGUGGUCUUUGUUUUGACCAAUGACAAGCACACAAGUCCAAAAACAAAGCAUGAGAUGGGCCGCUCCUCCUAACACUUUCCUUUGGAUUUCUACAUCAUAAAAUACGUGGAGUCCCCUUAAGAGGAACAAAGAAACUACAACGAACACACACACACACACACACACACACACACACACACACACACACACACACAAAAGCCUGCCUAAAAACAUAAGAACUGAAACAUUGCCCCCAUUGUAAAACCCUAAGAUAAAAAGACUGUUGCAUUGGCCGGGAAUCGAACCCGGGCCUCCCGCGUGGCAGGCGAGAAUUCUACCACUGAACCACCAAUGCUCACAUGCACCCCUAUAUCACAAUAUGUCGUCGAUAUCCACCAGGUACACAGGAUAUUAGAAGACGGGGAGAUGUUGAUAGGCAAAACAUUGAGGUCCAUGUUGUUCUGGCUGUACCACGACACCAGAUGGUCAGACUCCCACCUGUAGGCGGCCUCAUCCCCACCAGAGAUCAUCCAAUGAGGGUGGUGUCAUCCGCAAACUUCAGGAGCAUGAUGGACUAGUGACUGGAAGUGCAGCUGUUUGUGUACAGGGAGCAGAGAGGAAAGAACGCAGCCUUGGGGGAAACCGGUGCUAAUGGACCGAGAGGCUGAGACAUGUUUCCCCAACGUCACGUGCUGUUUCCUGUCAGACAGGAAGUCAGUGAUCCACUUGCAGGUGGGCAUGUGCAGCUGAGAGAGUUUGUCCUACAGCAGAGACGGGAUAAUCGUGUUGGGUACAGGCUGCUGUGUACCGGAGAAUAUACUGUUCAUAUCGGUCUGUGACACAGCAGUGACAUCCGCUCCGGUGUUGAGUUUAAACCGCAUUGUGGUGUUCCUUAUUCUUAUGUCAGCGGUCCAUGCAGCUUUGUUGGACGUCACAGAACCCAGGAAGGUUUCUUCCUCCGUCUCAAUACCGUCCACAUUUUCACCUGCACGACAGACACGCUGAAAGUGACCUUUUUUUCCACAUGAAUGACAAUUGGCAUCGUUGGCAGGGCACUCAUGUCUAGGGUGAGGUGGGCCACCACAUUUGUAGCACUGGGAGCUGUGUGGAUGUCUACCCUGGCUGUUAAAGUGUGCCUUUGCUCCAUCACUUUUGUAUUUGUUGAACUUGGGCUUCUCUCUUUGCUUUCGGCCUACAAACAUUCUGUCAACAGUGGCGGCAUCCAGCUGCACUACACUACUGGUAUCACUCCUCAGUGUGUUUUGUUGCUUUUUUAUCUCCUCUGAUUGUCUUGCCAUGUUAAUGGCCUUUUCCAGGGUUAAAUCCUUCUCCAUUUGCAUGCGUUCGGAGAGCCGUGCAUCAGCCAGACCCACUACAAUCCUAUCCCUGAUUAGCUCGUCAUGCAAUGCCCCAUAAUUGCAGUGCUCUGCUAGUGUAUGUAAGGCAGUUAUAAAAAACCUCAACUGUUUCAUUUGCCUCCUGCUUGCGCAUGUUGAAACGCGCGCGCUCAUACACGAUGUUCUUUCUAACAACAAAGAAAGACUCAAAUUCGUCUCCGUCGGUUGGGUGUACUUGCUGGUCUGCAGCGCUUAGUUUUAAGCCAAACUUCUAUUUACGUCCCCACGGUGGUACAACUUUCCAAUAUCCUGGUUUAGCUACACAGCACUUCUGACACCAUGUCGUGUUUGCUCAAUAAAGUGCGUGAGUUCCUUUAGAGGAAGAAAGAAACUACAACGAACACACACACACAAAAGCCUUAAUAAAAACAUAAGAACUGAAACAUUAUCCCCAUUGUAAAACCCUAUGUUAAAAAGACUGUUGCAUUGGCCGGGAAUCGAACCCGGGCCUCCCGCGUGGCAGGCGAGAAUUCUACCACUGAACCACCAAUGCUCACAUGCCUCAUAACAUCAGAAUAUCUUGUGGAUAUCCACCAGGCACACAGGAUACCAGAAGAUGGAAAGAUGUUGAUAGGCAAAGGUUCUAACACGGUGUCACAAAUAUUUACGUGCAAACGCUCUUGCCUUUCUGAAUCUUACAAAGGCACAGCGGAGGGAAGGAUGCUCACAGUUCUGAAGUUCAUUGGGCUCAGGGGCUUUUCUCCCCCGAGAUGCAAAGAAUAAAUCCAGAGGAGGAAGUUUAGGAUUUCACUGAAAGGGGCUGCGGCUACAGGUUCCCAGCUCACUCUCAGUGCGACAUUGGGUUUACCAGGCCUUUCCACCCCUCUCCAACUAUCUCAUCGAGCUCACUACAGGUAGUGACUUUUAGCAGACAGCCCUGCUAUUAUCUUCACCCAGGUGUCCAAGACAUUCGGCUUAAGUUCUGAGGAUGCGACAACGAGGUCGAUCAUCGAUCUUUGGCCGUGGUUAUUCUGGUACCAAGUACACUUAUGAAAAGCCCUGAACUUGAACGUGGUCUUUGUUUUGACCAAUGACAAGCAAAUGAGUCCAAAAACAAAGCACGAGAUGGCAUUAGAUUAAGCAAGCCGCUCCUCCUAACACCUUCCUUUGGAUUUCUACACCAUAAAAUAUGUGGACUCCCCUUUAGAGGAAGAAAGAAACUACAACGAACACACACACACAAAAGCCUUAAUAAAAACAUAAGAACUGAAACAUUAUCCCCAUUGUAAAACCCUAAGUUAAAAAGACUGUUGCAUUGGCCGGGAAUCGAACCCGGGCCUCCCGCGUGGCAGGCGAGAAUUCUACCACUGAACCACCAAUGCUCACACGCCUCACAACAUCACAAAGUCUCGUGAAUAUCCACCAGGCCUUUCUCCUCCGAGAUCCAUCCAUCCAUCUUCAGCCGCUUAUCUGGAGUCGGGUCACGGGGGCAACAGCUCCAGCAGGGGACC